AUGCAUGGAGUAUUAAAUAUAGAUGAAAAUAAAAACUAAUUGCACAGUUUGGUCAGAAUUGACGAGACGAUUUUUUUAAAUCUAGUUAGUCCAUAAUUAGACAAUAUUUGUCAAAUACAAACGAAAGUGCUACAGUAUCAAUUUCCCAAAAAAAAAUUCGGAACUAAACAAGGCCUAAAGGUCAUCAGAGUCUGUUCGUGAUCCCCCGGUUUUAGCCCUCGGUGGUGAAUUGUCGAUCAUAAUUAACAUGAUUAACAUCGACAGUUCAAAUCUGGUGGUGGUGAAUGAAAUCACUGUUGGUUUAGAGUUUGAUCCGAUUAUGGUGUUUUAGUCCUUGUUUAGUUCACCUCAAAAAUAAAAAACUUUUCAAAAUUUCUCGUCAUAUUGAGUCUUGCGGCACAUGCAUGAAACAUUAAAUAUAGUCAAAAACAAAAAAAACUAAUUUCACAGUUUGUCUGUAAAUCGCGAAAUGAAUUUUUUGAGCCUACUUAGUCCAUAAUUGAAUAAUAUUUGUCACAAACAAACGAAAGUGCUAUAGUGCUUCGAACUAAAUUUUUUUUGAAAAAUAAACAAGGCUUACUCUCAGGCGGUUUCAAAUCUGUAUCUGGCAGUGAACACUUAAUAAUCAUCACCAAGGGCACCAUUACUUGGCGACCAAAUCGAACCACUACCUGGUGAGUAUAGUUGCGUGAUUAGUCAUAUAUCU
rnacentral:lncRNA from 1 species